rnacentral:rRNA from 1 species
UAACAAGGAUUCCCCUAGUAACGGCGAGUGAACCGGGAAGAGCUCAAAUUUGAAAUCUGGCGUCCUUCGGGCGUCCGAGUUGUAAUCUAUAGAGGCGUUUUCCGUGCCGGACCGUGUCCAAGUCCCUUGGAACAGGGUAUCAAAGAGGGUGACAAUCCCGUACUUGACACGACUACCGGUGCUCUGUGAUACGUCUUCUACGAGUCGAGUUGUUUGGGAAUGCAGCUCAAAACGGGUGGUAAACUCCAUCCAAAGCUAAAUAUUGGUGGGAGACCGAUAGCGAACAAGUACCGUGAGGGAAAGAUGAAAAGCACUUUGGAAAGAGAGUUAAACAGUAUGUGAAAUUGUUGAAAGGGAAACGAUUGAAGUCAGUCGUGUCCAUUGGGUUCAGCCGGUUCUGCCGGUCUACUCCCUUUGGACGGGUCAACAUCAGUUCUGAUCGGCGGAAAAGGGCGGGAGGAAAGUGGCACCCCUCGGGGUGUGUUAUAGCCUUCUGUCGCAUACGCUGGUCGGGACUGAGGAACGCAGCUCGCCUUUAUGGCCGGGGUUCGCCCACGU